AGUAUGUCUGGGAACUGCCUGAUGGAGGGGGAUAACUACUGGAAACGGUAGCUAAUACCGCAUAACGUCGCAAGACCAAAGAGGGGGACCUUCGGGCCUCUUGCCAUCGGAUGUGCCCAGAUGGGAUUAGCUUGUUGGUGGGGUAACGGCUCACCWAGGCGACGAUCCCUAGCUGGUCUGAGAGGAUGACCAGCCACACUGGAACUGAGACACGGUCCAGACUCCUACGGGAGGCAGCAGUGGGGAAUAUUGCACAAUGGGCGCAAGCCUGAUGCAGCCAUGCCGCGUGUAUGAAGAAGGCCUUCGGGUUGUAAAGUACUUUCAGCGGGGAGGAAGGGAGUAAAGUUAAUACCUUUGCUCAUUGACGUUACCCGCAGAAGAAGCACCGGCUAACUCCGUGCCAGCAGCCGCGGUAAUACGGAGGGUGCAAGCGUUAAUCGGAAUUACUGGGCGUAAAGCGCACGCAGGCGGUUUGUUAAGUC
rnacentral:rRNA from 1 species